AACUGCCAAGCCUGGCAGGGGCUAGUCAGCGGCAGCCUUGGAGCCCAGUUUCAGGGAUGCCAGCCUUUUCUUGAGGCCCUGCACCUCAACUGAGUAGGGCCAACUUCAGGCCCUGCUGGUCUAAGCCAGUGUGGGUCAGGGGCAGCCUGAGCCCCCUGUGACCCUGGUGUGGCCAGUGGAGGUGGGUGGCUGUGUGCUGGGACUGACCCCCCAUAAGUGUCAGCAGCAGAGCUAGGGCAGGGAGGGGGCGUGGGCAGCUGGUCUGCUUUCCACAGAGCCUGGCAUUUGGGGCCCUACUGGGGGAAUGCAGCCCACACACACGAGCCCUGCUAGCUGGAAAGGUUGAGCUAAGGUCCUCAGUGAGGCGUGGCCAAGGCCUUCUCAGAGACAGCAUGGUGGGAGGCUUAGCUUGGGCCUCGGAACCAUAGGAACAGCAUGGCAGUGAGUGUCCGGCUUUUCUUUUUGCCUCCUGUAUCUCCUGUACUGGGUGCUAGAGAAGCUGCCACCCUAACCACCAACAGGCACAGAGCGAGA
rnacentral:lncRNA from 1 species